CUACGGGAGGCAGCAGUGGGGAAUAUUGCACAAUGGGCGCAAGCCUGAUGCAGCCAUGCCGCGUGUAUGAAGAAGGCCUUCGGGUUGUAAAGUACUUUCAGCGGGGAGGAAGGGAGUAAAGUUAAUACCUUUGCUCAUUGACGUUACCCGCAGAAGAAGCACCGGCUAACGCCGUGCCAGCAGCCGCGGUAAUACGGAGGGUGCAAGCGUUAAUCGGAAUUACUGGGCGUAAAGCGCACGCAGGCGGGUUGUUAAGUCAGAUGUGAAAUCCCCGGGCUCAACCUGGGAACUGCAUCUGAUACUGGCAAGCUUGAGUCUCGUAGAGGGGGGUAGAAUUCCAGGUGUAGCGGUGAAAUGCGUAGAGAUCUGGAGGAAUACCGGUGGCGAAGGCGGCCCCCUGGACGAAGACUGACGCUCAGGUGCGAAAGCGUGGGGAGCAAACAGGAUUAGAUACCCGCGUAGUC
rnacentral:rRNA from 1 species